AACGAACGCUGGCGGCAUGCCUAACACAUGCAAGUCGAACGAUACCUUCGGGUCUAGUGUCGCACGGGUGCGUAACGCGUGGGAACCUGCCUUUAGGUUCGGAAUAACUCAGAGAAAUUUGAGCUAAUACCGGAUGAUUUCUUCGGACCAAAGAUUUAUCGCCUUUAGAUGGGCCCGCGUUGGAUUAGCUAGUUGGUGGGGUAAAGGCCUACCAAGGCGACGAUCCAUAGCUGGUCUGAGAGGAGGAUCAGCCACACUGGGACUGAGACACGGCCCAGACUCGUACGAGAGGCAGCAGUGGGGGAUAUAGGACAACGGGCGAAAGCCUGAUACAGCAAGGCCGCGUGAGUGAUGAAGGCCUUAGGGUUGUAAAGCUCUUUUAACCGAGAUGAUAAUGACAGUAUCGGGAGAAUAAGCUCCGGCUAACUACGUG
rnacentral:rRNA from 1 species